rnacentral:tRNA from 1 species
UGGAUGUGUCACCUCAGUGGCGAGAGGACCGGGCUCUUAAUCCGGCAGCGAAAGCUCAUCGUGGGUUCGAGUCCCACCACAUCCUCCA